AGUGUAUACCAUACCACCACUGGAAUGAGUGGUAUGCCAAACGCUCCGGCGCCGAAGGAUGUGGCUGCGGCCGAUUAGGUAGACGGUGGGGUAACGGCCCACCGUGCCAAUAAUCGGUNUGGGUCAUGAGAGUGAGAACCCAHAGACGGAAUCUGAGACAAGAUUCCGGGCCCUACGGGGCGCAGCAGGCGCGAAACCUUUACACUGCACGACAGUGCGAUAGGGGGAUCCCAAGUGCACAGGCAUAGCGCCUGWGCUUUUCGGUACCCUAAGGCGGUACCAGAAUAAGGGCUGGGCAAGACAGGGUGCCAGCCGCCGCGGAGAAUACCGGCAGCCCAAGUGAUGGCCGAUCUUAUUGGGCCUAAAGCGUCCGUAGCUGGCCGCGCAAGUCCAUCGGGAAAUCCACCUGCUCAACAGGUGGGCGCCCGGUAGAAACUGCGUGGCUUGGGACCGGAAGGCGCGACGGGUACGUCCGGGGUAGGAGUGAAAUCCCGGUAAUCMUGGACGGNACCGCCGAUGGCGAAAGCACGUCGCGAGAACGGAUCCGACAGUGAGGGACGAAAGCCAGGGUCUCGAACCGGAUUAGAUACCCGGGUAGUCCUGGCCGUAADCAAUGUCUGCUAGGUGUGGCUCCCACUACGAGUGGGUGCUGUGCCGUAGGGAAGCCGCUAAGCAGACCGCCUGGGAAGUACGUCYGCAAGGAUGAAACUUAAAGGAAUUGGCGGGGGAGCACUACAACCGGAGGAGCCUGCGGUUUAAUUGGACUCAACGCCGGACAUCUCACCAGCAUCGACUGUAGUAAUGACGAUCAGGUUGAUGACCUUAUCCGAGCUUCAGAGAGGAGGUGCAUGGCCGCCGUCAGCUCGUACCGUGAGGCGUCCUGUUAAGUCAGGCAACGCANCGAGACCCGCACCCUUACUUGCCAGCAGUACCGCGAGGUAGCUGGGGACAGUAGGGGGACCGCCGUGGCUAACACGGAGGAAGGAWCGGGCAACGGUAGGUCAGUAUGCCCCGAAUGUGCUGGGCAACACGCGGGCUACAAUGGUCGAGACAAAGGGUUCCAACUCCGAAAGGAGACGGUAAUCUCAGAAACUCGAUCGUAGUUCGGAUUGUGGGCUGCAACUCGCCCACAUGAAGCUGGAUUCGGUAGUAAUCGCGUGUCACAAGCGCGCGGUGAAU
rnacentral:rRNA from 1 species